CCACAACUGCAACCGCUCAUCAUUGAGUCUAAGUGUCUUGGACCACUCAAUAUGGCGAGUCUAAGUGUAGGU
rfam:Facklamia languida CCTG 37842 genomic scaffold supercont1.1, whole genome shotgun sequence.